rnacentral:rRNA from 1 species
AUUGAACGCUGGCGGCAUGCCUUACACAUGCAAGUCGAACGGUAACAGGUCUUCGGAUGCUGACGAGUGGCGAACGGGUGAGUAAUACAUCGGAACGUGCCCGAUCGUGGGGGAUAACGCAGCGAAAGCUGUGCUAAUACCGCAUACGAUCUACGGAUGAAAGCGGGGGAUCGCAAGGCCUCGCGCGGACGGAGCGGCCGAUGGCAGAUUAGGUAGUUGGUGGGAUAAAAGCUUACCAAGCCGACGAUCUGUAGCUGGUCUGAGAGGACGACCAGCCACACUGGAACUGAGACACGGUCCAGACUCCUACGGGAGGCAGCAGUGAGGAAUAUUGCGCAAUGGGGGAAACCCUGACGCAGCGACGCCGUGUGAGCGAUGAAGGCCUUCGGGUCGUAAGCUCUGUCAGAGGGAAAGAAAGGGUACGGCGGAAGUAAUAACCCGCCGACAUUGACGGUACCCUCGGAGGAAGCACCGGCUAACUCCGUGCCAGCACG